CCAUGGUUUCACUGUGGGCUGUAGUUGGCGGCCGUGGCUGUAGCGCGCUCUUCAAGGUCUCGAGGUGUCAGGUUGACAACGUGAUGUUUACUCACGUGUUCUGUAUCAUAUUUUAGCGGCGGUCCGCUUCGGCAAGUUUCAACGCACAUUCUUACCUGCUGGUUUGUACUGUGGACCAAGAUUUGCUGCGCGUUCUGGAAGCAUUGGUGCAACGCGAAGUGUAGUACCCCUACUCUGCCUUUCCUAUGGGAGCGUCUUAUCCAUCCAGCAGCUACAGAUUCUGAGAAGUCUCAUAGGGGACUCGUCCACCAGUGUAACUUCAGUGACAAUGAGACUGAUUAGUCAUGGCACCUCUCAUCAGGGUUCACAUAGCGAGCAGCCAUUUGUGCCCACAGAGCUUCAAAGAUGCGCAUUGCAUGAUCACAUUAGCACCCAUAUGGGUGAGCGGCUGUGUAAAUACCACUUGUGACCCUGAAGCUUCUUGGUAAAAUCCGCGUUGGCUGUGUGCCUGCUAAUUCACACGUCUGAGCAUCGGUAUGAAGGUUCUUGACUCCUCCAAGCUUUCUGGCAAAUGUUCAAACUGAAAAUGCAUGUGCAUCCAAAAGAGCCAGCACCUGUGUCAAUGCCCUUCUUGCCCCCAGACAGUUAACAAGAAUGGCCAUCUCAAAAGACGCAAGCAUCACCUUGAACACUAGCAACCCUUUCAUUAAAGGCUCUGCUGUCGUUGUUUUUUGUGUUUGUUUAUUUGCUUUUGUAAAGGCACCUUUAAAGAGUUGUUCCAGAAUAACGUGAAAAGUGCUGAGAUACAUGGCAUAACAUUAAGGUUGUGGUCCUAGCAGUGAUGGCCUGGCCUCAUUCAUUUUUUUACACCAUCUUUGUGCAUGGAGCAAUGUGUAAUUGAAACAUUUCAUAUCAUUUUUCUCUUUGCACUGCUGUUGGUACCGGUGUAUAUUAUCAUUAUAAGUUGUAUUGUGUAUUUCUACUGUUCAAUGACCACAUUUUUCUUCAGUGUGAACUCUAUAUCCUUUCCGAGCCACGCAUUUGAAUACUGUAAACGUAAAACCAUAUCUCCAUUACACUAUGGCCUAGUGGAGGUCACCAGUCAGAUGUGUAGGUAUAUAAUAAUCGGUCGGAAUUGCAAGAUUUCAUGUGUUUCUUUCAUGUUAUGUGAUGUGUAAAGGAAAUUAAAGGGCUCAUUUUCUUUGUUAGACACCAUUUAGUGAGAACUAACAGACAAUAAUGCGAAGGGAAGUAUAGGGCCUGUUAGUGGUAAUUUUAAUGUAAAUGUGAAGAAAGAAAGGGGACAAAAAGAUGAUUUGUCGCUGACAGGGACCGAACCUGUCACCUUCAAAUGACACGGCCAACACUCUACCUCCCUGCACGUGUGAAUGGGCAAAAAAAAAAGAAUGGAGUGCUCCACACUCGUCCUAAUGGCUACUGCCGGCACUGAAUGACACUCCCAUCUUUCAAAUGCACAUAUAUAUUAUAUAAAGUAGACACAGGAAUGACCACUGCUAUAGUACAGUUGGUGGAGCAUUGGGCGCAUCAUUAAAAGCUUGCAGGUUAAAUCCCUGCCAUCUGCAAAUUAUCUUUUCGUCCACUUUUAUUCUGUACAUUUACAUCACAAUUACUGUUAAUAACAUCCGGUAUACUUUCCUUCACCUCAUCUUAUUAAAGGGGUACUGACACAAAAUUUUGCUGCCGAGAUAGCCUGCAGUAUCGAUUCCCGUGAACAUGCGUAUAUCAUCGACAAAAUAUCAAUAGCAAAUAUAGCUUGAAAGGUAUUUUACAGCAAUUUUGAAAUUUGAAUUUUGAAGGUAUUGACAUUGUCUAAAGGACCCUUUGCGGACCGCCUUACUUCCCUCACGUCAUCAUGCUGCAGUCAAUAAAGUAGGUUAUGAUAAUGUCAUAGCUGCCAUUUUUCUUUUGCCACGCUUGUUUCCGCUGUCAAUACACAUGUGGUUGCUAUUAUGAAUUUUCUUUGGUAAUAAAAUGCAGAUGCAGAAGUUAUGUGGACCAGCUA
rnacentral:lncRNA from 1 species